AGUGAACGCUGGCGGUAGGCCUAACACAUGCAAGUCGAACGGCAGCACAGUAAGAGCUUGCUCUUACGGGUGGCGAGUGGCGGACGGGUGAGGAAUACAUCGGAAGCUACUUUUUCGUGGGGGAUAACGUAGGGAACCUUACGCUAAUACCGCAUACGACCUACGGGUGAAAGCAGGGGAUCUUCGGCCCUUGCGCGAUUGAAUGAGCCGAUGUCGGAUUAGCUAGUUGGCGGGGUAAAGGCCCACCAAGGCGACGAUCCGUAGCUGGUCUGAGAGGAUGAUCAGCCACACUGGAACUGAGACACGGUCCAGACUCCUACGGGAGGCAGCAGUGGGGAAUAUUGGACAAUGGGCGCAAGCCUGAUCCAGCCAUACCGCGUGGGUGAAGAAGGCCUUCGGGUUGUAAAGCCCUUUUGUUGGGAAAGAAAAGCAGCAGGUUAAUACCCCGCUGUUCUGACGUUACCCAAAGAAUAAGCACCGGCUAACUUCGUG
rnacentral:rRNA from 1 species